UACCUAUGAAUGAUUAUAUACUUACGGCCUCUGUAGCAGCAGGCAGUAAUCCAGCAGGACUGGAACCACAUCCUGAACACACCACACAGAGACAGAGAGAGAGAGAGAGAGAGAGAGAGAGAGAGAGAGAGAGAGAGAGAGAGAGAGAGAGAGAGAGAGAGAGAGAGAGAGAGAGAGAGAUUGACUUUGAAUGUUCAAUGAAAAUUUUUGGUCCCAGAGAAGGACACCUCAGUCUGUCUGCUUGCUCAGCUUGGCCCUGCUUAUUCGCUGCCUGCCUGGAAAUCACCAUUGUACAUUUCUGUACAGUUGUCAAAUAAAACCUGUAUUUUUUCCAUUA